GUUUGUUUUGAUUUUUAAAUCAUUUGUUAAAACUAAAAAUGAGUGUGCGUACGCGUGGAGAGGGGGAACAAGGCUUCUCUAAUCAGCAAAGGGGCUGUCGGCAGGCGAUGUACAAAUGAAAGCGCGCUUUCUAAAUUUCCAAAGCACUAAAGGGAGAGAAAUGCGCAAUUACUGUGGGAUUCGCCCAGAGGAGCAGCCUCAGGAGUUGAAGGGGAUCCUGUCCCUCCCAGAGGAAAGCUCACGAUUGGAUUGGAACUUCUAGCGACUGCCUGAGGCGCGUCCUCCGGGUCAUGGGGAAACAGAGGCAGAGACUUGGGAAGGAGAAAUGGAGAAACCAGGGCAACGUGCUUUAAACUCUGCAAAUAUUUGUGUCCUUCACAAAAAAAGGCGUUCCUCAGUCUACCUCCAACCUCGCCGGGCAACUUAUCUUUCCCAAGUUCACAGCCUGACUCCGGAUCUCUUGGUCUCUUGUGAUCUUGCAGCAAUUCAGCAGAAAAGACUCGGUUUGGGUUUUGGUUUGUGAUGGCUAAUAAUGGGGGUUUUACCCCCCUGAUGUUUGGGGGAUUUGUGCUUGUUUUAUGAUUACUAUUUUUCUUGUUUCCUGCAGUCAAGGAAAACUGUCUGUGUUACAAGCAAACUUACUGUCCCCUGCCUCAGGGACGUGAGUUCCAGUCCUGGACACUUUACUUUCUCUCUCUCCGGUCUUCCCUGGCCCACGGUCAGUUUCUUAACUCUCCUUGUCCUUGAUCUUUUCCCGAAAUGCCUGGACCCUCGCCUUAGCCCCUCCUCCGAUUUGCCCCUUUCUUUAAUUUGUCUUGUGUGUUAGCGCUGGGUCAGCGCGCCCUUUGUGCUGAGGUCCUGGGCCGGUGUGUGUGUGUGCGUGCGUGCGUGUGUGUUGUAGUGUGUGUUUCUUUUGUUAUUUUCUCCCCUAACACCGCAGAAAUGAAACACACAUGCAGCUCUGUCGCCUCAUAUUUUCAGAUGUUUUUCACACUAUUGUCUGCUCCAGCCCGUUGAAAGUGCAAAGUGAAAACAGAUGCAUCCAAAAAAUUUUUUUUGAAAGGGACAAUCCUAGGAUGGAGACUAACCCCUCGAAUACAGAUAAGCAAUAAAUAUUGUAUCAGAUUUAUAACGUGCAUCGAGCAGUCUUGAUUAGCACCAAGGUGAGCUUUGGUGAGAUUUUUAUCAUUUCCAUGUGUCUGGACUACAAGAAGAAAUCACUGGGGGAAGAGCUCUAUAAAUCAGCGUCCAUGUCAAGACAAAUCAAAAUAAUGCCUCUAUUAUUUCAAUCAAUAAACCAUUUUUAUUCCCAACAUCUGAUACACACAGUGUGUGUCCGUCUGUUUGUAUUUGGAAUUGGCAGCCUUGCCUUAUACCAAAACAAACCUUUCAAGACGUGUCAAUGAAAUUAAAAUUUUUAAAAGGAGAAUUCAAUGUGACCCUCCUUCCCUUUCGAGCUACUCCAUUCUCCCCUUUUUAAGCCGCACACCCCAAGUCAGUAGGAGAGCUUUGCAACUCUGCAAAGGAUGAAAUUGCUUUGAGAAUUUCAGAGAAAAGGGGUGGCGGGUGCUAUUAGGGAAGAGAAACCGAAAGCGGCGACAGGCAACGACUGGGACUGAGGAAAGCCUCCCUGGCUCCUGGCUCCAAGAUAUUCCAGAGGACGGUCCUAGGGCGGUCUCAGGAGGGUGUGACAGGGUGCUCCCGCGCUCUGCUAAAAACCAAAACCACCACCUCCCACCACUGCCACCAAGAUUUUUCCAGCAGGUGUAAGGCUGACUGGCUGUAGGGCGUUAAUUGGGGCGAGGCUAGCUGGAGAAAGAUGGGGGGCGGGGGCGGGAGACGAGGAAGAGUGGGGGAGAGGAGGGAAGAAAGGGAGAGAGAGAGAGCGACUGACUCUGGUUGACUGGCGGGUGGCUUUUGUUAGUUUCAGGCAGAUUUCAAGACUUGUUUCUCAAAAUGUCCUGCAAUUUUGGCUUCCGCGGCAGUUUGUGAGAUGGGGCCACAAUUCUUGAUUGAUGAUAGGAAAGUAGAGAAGGAGAGAUGAUUCGUCUAUGAGUCAACAUUGUCGAUAGCUAGAGUCUUGGUAUUCCCAUAGCUUCCUUGGUUAUUUUGUUUCCAAAUUUGCACACCCAGGAACCAAAUCUCAAUGAUCCUUUUGUUGCUGAAGGUUCAUCCUCUCCUGUUCCAUCUGUCCGCCAUAAACACAUAAUUCUGACUGCCCCAUUCCUAAUCCAUUUCUUUCCUUUGGAAUGGGAAGAAGGAAAUGAAAAGUACUCCCAGAUGGAAACCGAAACGGCGUCAGAUCCAGAAUAGUCUUUGUUUGGAUUCAACAGCUGUCUGCCCACCACGCCCUCAGUCCCCAAGUCCAAAGCGCAUCCUCGGGGUUUCAUUUGAGAAAGGGAGAAAAAAGAAACACUUCAAAAUCUGUAUUUUUACAAGCAGGAUUUCACAAUCCUUGGGAACUUUGAGACUUGAAUGGUUAAUCUCUCAGACGAAAUUAUCACCCCAACGACUGUUCACAGAUUAGUCGAUGCAAAUGUUAAAAACGUGUUGGCAAGCUGGAUGAGCAGGCAAACGCACAUAAGGGUCCCCAGAUGCAGCGAAUGAACAGGUUUUCCUCGUAAAAAUGAUGGAGGUGAAGGUGGGGAUGGGGGUGCUCUCCUCACUCCGGAAUCUGAAGCGGGAGAGAGCUGGAUAAACCGCCGAGAUGACCUAAGUGGUCUGAGGCGACCAGCAGCGCGUCCACAGUGGAGGACCCAGGCCUCGGCUCAGACAUGGCCUGCUCCGCUCUUUCCCUAGGCUCCUCUGCAACAUCAGGCAACCAAGGCCUGCGCUCUCCUUUUCCUGAGGAGACUCCCUGGAACCUUCAAGAACCCCCCGACAGCCACCAGGAUACCCGGUCUGAAUGGUUUCCUACCAAGAAAGACCCCGAAGACCUGCAGUUCUGUCCAGAAACGAGUUUUUAGGGUCACUUGAAUUUGAGCUGCUGCGAGGGCGGUGCUUUAGGGAGCAGAGUUCAAAGAGGAAUUCCUCAGGACCCUAGGCCAGGUCCGCGUUAAAGGGCGCCUUACAAACCUCCUCUCCCCACACUCCCCCGCAGCCCCUUCCCCAACGUUUAAGGCACCGGAUCUUGAGAAGCAAAUCUAGUGCCCAGCUUCAAAUCCCCGCCUUGGAAAAGUACAAAGAGAAAACUGAUUUUUCAAAUCCCAAAGCCCUUUCCUUUUAAGCAACUUGGAAAAACUCAGCUAUAAACGCUUUCUCCUCUUAUGCUAAAAUUGAAAACUUAUAGAUUUUAGAUGGAAUGAAGAGAAGAUAUAUUCCUUUUCCCUUUAAAUAGCCACAUUUCAAAUUGUGCCAGGCAGCAAUUUCUGCGAAAAAGGAGUGGCGGUUGGGAUUGUUUGGGAGAUGGAGUUUUAUUUGUUCCCAUUUAUUUUGUUUUAUUUUUGUUUUAUUUUUUUCUUUGAGUUUCUUUGUUAUUUUGAGAUUCAUCUAAGAGACUCAGAAUUCCACUCUGAAUAAAGCACUUUUUGUUGUUUCAAAAUUUCAAACUGACAUAAGUGUUGGAUCAUCAGUUUUCCCUUUGUCUGCCCUAGUUGUAAAUAAUGGCUUUGAGAUUAGCUAAUUAAGGGGCAUUAAUCACUGAUAGAAAGGGAAUAAAUCAAAGCCUUGUUCUAAAUUUCAAACUUGCCUGUAUAGAUGUGCAUAGCUACUCUAUCUGGAGCAGAUAGGUGCUGUUUGAAUUACUGUUCUUCAGAGUAAACCAAAUCCACUUCGCUUUUAAAAAAUGAAUAUUGUAUUUAUACAGCCUGG
rnacentral:lncRNA from 1 species